rnacentral:rRNA from 1 species
UACAGAGGUGGCGAGCGUUGUUCGGAUUUACUGGGCGUAAAGGGUGCGUAGGUGGUUCUGCGUGUCAGGUGUGAAAUCCCACGGCUCAACCGUGGAACUGCAUCUGAAACUGCAGGGCUAGAGUGCAGGAUGGGAGAGCGGAAUUCUUGGUGUAGCGGUGAAAUGCGUUGAGAUCAAGAAGAACACCGGUGGCGAAGGCGGCUCUCUGGAAUGCAACUGACACUGAGGCACGAAAGCUGGGGGAGCAAACAGG